UGGGAGCUUGCUCCCUGAUGUUAGCGGCGGACGGGUGAGUAACACGUGGGUAACCUGCCUGUAAGACUGGGAUAACUCCGGGAAACCGGGGCUAAUACCGGAUGGUUGUUUGAACCGCAUGGUUCAAACAUAAAAGGUGGCUUCGGCUACCACUUACAGAUGGACCCGCGGCGCAUUAGCUAGUUGGUGAGGUAACGGCUCACCAAGGCAACGAUGCGUAGCCGACCUGAGAGGGUGAUCGGCCACACUGGGACUGAGACACGGCCCAGACUCCUACGGGAGGCAGCAGUAGGGAAUCUUCCGCAAUGGACGAAAGUCUGACGGAGCAACGCCGCGUGAGUGAUGAAGGUUUUCGGAUCGUAAAGCUCUGUUGUUAGGGAAGAACAAGUACCGUUCGAAUAGGGCGGUACCUUGACGGUACCUAACCAGAAAGCCACGGCUAACUACGUGCCAGCAGCCGCGGUAAUACGUAGGUGGCAAGCGUUGUCCGGAAUUAUUGGGCGUAAAGGGCUCGCAGGCGGUUUCUUAAGUCUGAUGUGAAAGCCCCCGGCUCAACCGGGGAGGGUCAUUGGAAACUGGGGAACUUGAGUGCAGAAGAGGAGAGUGGAAUUCCACGUGUAGCGGUGAAAUGCGUAGAGAUGUGGAGGAACACCAGUGGCGAAGGCGACUCUCUGGUCUGUAACUGACGCUGAGGAGCGAAAGCGUGGGGAGCGAACAGGAUUAGAUACCCUGGUAGUCCACGCCGUAAACGAUGAGUGCUAAGUGUUAGGGGGUUUCCGCCCCUUAGUGCUGCAGCUAACGCAUUAAGCACUCCGCCUGGGGAGUACGGUCGCAAGACUGAAACUCAAAGGAAUUGACGGGGGCCCGCACAAGCGGUGGAGCAUGUGGUUUAAUUCGAAGCAACGCGAAGAACCUUACCAGGUCUUGACAUCCUCUGACAAUCCUAGAGAUAGGACGUCCCUUUCGGGGGCAGAGUGACAGGUGGUGCAUGGUUGUCGUCAGCUCGUGUCGUGAGAUGUUGGGUUAAGUCCCGCAACGAGCGCAACCCUUGAUCUUAGUUGCCAGCAUUCAGUUGGGCACUCUAAGGUGACUGCCGGUGACAAACCGGAGGAAGGUGGGGAUGACGUCAAAUCAUCAUGCCCCUUAUGACCUGGGCUACACACGUGCUACAAUGGACAGAACAAAGGGCAGCGAAACCGCGAGGUUAAGCCAAUCCCACAAAUCUG
rnacentral:rRNA from 1 species